AUUGAACGCUGGCGGCAUGCUUUACACAUGCAAGUCGAACGGCAGCGCGGGCUUCGGCCUGGCGGCGAGUGGCGAACGGGUGAGUAAUGCAUCGGAACGUGCCCAGUAGUGGGGGAUAGCCCGGCGAAAGCCGGAUUAAUACCGCAUACGACCUGAGGGUGAAAGCGGGGGACCGAAAGGCCUCGCGCUAUUGGAGCGGCCGAUGUCGGAUUAGCUAGUUGGUGGGGUAAAGGCUUACCAAGGCGACGAUCCGUAGCUGGUCUGAGAGGACGACCAGCCACACUGGGACUGAGACACGACCCAGACUCCUACGGGAGGCAGCAGUGGGGAAUUUUGGACAAUGGGGGCAACCCUGAUCCAGCCAUGCCGCGUGCGGGAAGAAGGCCUUCGGGUUGUAAACCGCUUUUGUUCGGGAAGAAAUCCUCUGGGCUAAUACCCCGGGGGGAUGACGGUACCGGAAGAACAAGCACCGGCUAACUACGUG
rnacentral:rRNA from 1 species